rnacentral:sRNA from 1 species
UAUCUGAAGUCUGACGAGGAUGAGAACCUCCGGGGGCAAGAGGUUCGACUCGAGCGAAGCGAGAGAACGUUGCGUCAGCAACGGCCCGCAGGGCGAGCCACGCAGUGGCGAGUCAUCCUCUAUCACCGACCA